rnacentral:lncRNA from 1 species
GUUAGGGUUUUUAUUUUUUUAAAGUUAGGGUUUAGGGUCUUUUGAAAGUGUUCAGGGUUUUCGACUGAAAUGACGAAAGUUCUUAGGUAGUUUUGAGGGGGCGGGGAUGUGAGCACACAUACAUUUCAUAUGUCAUGGUAGGAUAGGACUAUCACCUUAGAAACACAUCGUGGGGAAAUCCGAUUCUGGGUUAAUACUGUUUGAUACGAUCAGGGGUUGAACUCUAG